AUUGAACGCUGGCGGCAGGCCUAACACAUGCAAGUCGAGCGAGCGUCGGACGGGUGAGUAAUGUAUGGGGACUGCCCGAUAGAGGGGGAUAACUACUGUAAACGGUGUCUAAUACCCCAUACUACCUGAUAACCCCUAUGGGAUUUGCUAGUAGGUAAGGUAAUGGCUUACCUAGGCGACGAUCCCUAGCUGGUCUGAGAGGAUGAUCAGCCACACGGGGACUGAGAAACGGCCCAGACUCCUACGGAGGCAGCAGUGGGGAAUAUGGCACAAUGGGCGCAAGCCUGAUGCAGCCAUGCCGCGUGUAUGAAGAAGGCCCUAGGGUUGUAAAGUACUUUCAGUCGGGAGGCGUUACCGACAGAAGAAGCACCGGCUAACUCCGUGCCAGCCGCCGCGGUAAUAC
rnacentral:rRNA from 1 species